rnacentral:sRNA from 1 species
GGGAAAUGUGAGGGCUAGUGCAGCGCUGAGCCCAGACCCCUCACACAGCGCCACCCGCAACUUGCUUAACCUAGAGGUGGGGGGUGAAGUCCCUGUCGGCCCUGUCACCUGGGGCCCCAGCACCUCUCCUUGGCUUUGCAGAUGAUGUUCCACAGGAGCCCGUGCCCACGCUGUGGAACGAGCCGGCCGAGCUGCCGUCGGGAGAAGGCCCCGUGGAGAGCACCAGCCCCGGCCGGGAGCCCGUGGACACCGGUCCCCCAGCCCCCACCGUCGCGCCGGGACCCGAGGACAGCACCGCGCAGGAGCGGCUGGACCAGGGCGGCGGGUCGCUGGGGCCUGGCGCCAUCGCGGCCAUCGUGAUCGCCGCCCUGCUGGCCACCUGCGUGGUGCUGGCGCUCGUGGUCGUCGCGCUGAGAAAGUUUUCCGCCUCCUGAAGCGAAUAAAGGGGCCGCGCCCGGCCGCGGCGCGACUCGGCUGCACUCCUCACGCGCCUGUAUGUCCGCGCGUGCGUGUCCGCGCGUGCAGGCGAGCACUCAGUGCAGGGGUGCGCGCGGGGCCGAGGGUGGGUGCCGUGCACGCGCGCGGGUCCGGAGGCGCGCCCGAAUUCCCCGCAGGGGCGCCGGGGCGUGCGUGAGCGCACAGCAUGUCCGAGCCCGCCCGCGUGUGGCGUGCACGUGAGCGCGCGCAGGGCCGCGCGGCUCGGCGUCCGCGUGCACCACGGCUGGAGUGCCUCAGGAGCGCGCCGCAUGUGCGUCCCCGGUGCGCCUGCGCCGGGGCCGCCAGGGCAUCGGAGCGGGUGUGCGGCCAGCGGUCUUAGCCCGGCCGGGGCCACCGUCACGGCCGGGGCCACGCCACGGGCGGCCUCUUCUCCCGGCGCCGCCUCCUCUGCCUGGGCGCGGGCCGAGGGGCUCGCCGCGCUCCCCGGGGCCUGCCCCCCAUCCCGCUCCGCUGGCGUUCAGAGCGUUCCGUGAGGAGGUAAGCGCGAGGGCGGCAGAGGCCGACGGAGAUCCCGGGGCCCGCCGCUCCUUGAGGCCGGGCCGGGGGAGGGCGGGGGCCGUCGGCGCUCCCAGCCAGAGGCCGCGUUGUUUUGGGGGGACGUCUUGAUUCUGAGUCCCGCAGCCAGGGCCCCAUCCGCGGGCUCAGACCAGCAGCCCCAGGCCCCCCUCUGCCCAGGGAGCCUCAGGGGCAGGAUGAGUCGAGAGUCGACGCCGGACACUGCCUGCCCCUGCUUCCUACUCUCACCCCCCAGGCCUGGCUGGGGGCCGGCAGCCCCCACGCCCACGGUUCGUUUGUUCAGGGAGAGAAAACGACUUUCCCAGCUCUACUCACCCCACUUCACCCUCAGAGCGUCGGGGCGGAGUGAGGGUGAGGAGCCUGGUCCAGGAUCCCCACCUCGGAAGCAUUUAGAGAUGUAAACUUUGAUCCUUUGAUCAUUUAACCUGCACGGCACAGCAGGAAGUGGGAACUUGGUCCCUACCCCAGUCCCCAGGGCCUUUGGAGGGAAGGGCUGGACAAUUUGGAGGCCAGCAGACCCCUUGGGGACAGCUUAAUGUAUCUGAAGAUUCCUGAGUGGGAAUGCUGCUGGAGGGCAAGCUGCUUCUCUUUUUUAAAAAUUCAUUUUCUCUAGCAGCUGUUUUGGCCCCUUUGGUGUCCCUGAGCUCCCCAUGGCACUGUUUCCUGCCGUGACUUUCUCCUCCUGGACACUCAAGCCCAGGUGGUGCCCGCGCAUCUCUCACACACUGGGGGAUGGGGGUCAAGGCCUCAUCCAAGUCUGUUAACAGCUUCCCAAUCAACCAGUCUCCCCAAAAUACACUGUGAGUUAAAUGAUUCUGCUUAUAAAGGAGUGCUAUGAAACUGACCUAUUUUCCUAAUUGGUUAACUUACUUCAUCUCACAUAACCUUGAGUAACCAAAGCCUUCAUCAGAGUGGACGAUCCAACUCAACAUGCUGUUUCCCAGCCUCAAAAGGCACGGGGACCAAUGGCCACCCAGCUCCUUCCCAACCCUCCCCUCCAGGGACGAGAGAUGGCCCCCUCUUUCCCUUUCCCCACUCUGCAAGCACUCCCCCACCAACGGGUGCAUCACAGCCCCUCACUGGGACCAGGGGGCCUCCCUCUCCGGUGGAACCAGUGUCACAUGCCUGUGCAUCUCUGUGAUUCUCAGAGGGUCUGAGGUCCGAGCACCCUGCUGUGGCCUGUGGGAAGACGCUACAAAGUCCCACCGGAUCUAAAGCAGAGGCCUGUUCUGGCGAGCAGGGAAACUGUGUCCUGGCAGAGAGCGUGGUCCUGGGCACACAGGACCCCUCAGCACACUGAGGUGGAGCUGGAGCAAGGGGAGGGGGUGCGGCUCUGGGUAACUGAAGGUGUGAAGGGCCCAGGGCCUGUUUCUGGGCAGUGCAGGAAGUCCCAGCCCCACGCCUGUGGUUAGAUCCCCGGUAGGGCCCCCGACCAUGGACACUUCAGGGCCUCCGCGGUCUUCCAAAGCUGUGUCCUCACUUCCACUGCAGCAGAGGGGCGUCCCCAGCUCCGUCAAACAGCCCUUUCUGUUUCUGGAGUCCUACGAGUGGAGGCCCAAAUCCGCUCCCAUGCUGAGGCAAGGCCCUGACUGUUCCUUCCUCUCUGGAAACCUCCUUGAACCCUUCCUUUGGGACAUGCCUCCUCGACCAGCCUUGAAGGGGUGCUCCUCUCUCACUGCCUGGAACCAAACACCCCCUUCCUUUGUGUACGAGGGCAAUAAAGAGUAGACCUUCAUCUUCUUUA